UUCAGUUUAUGUUAUUGCCGUAUGUUCUUUCUCCACGAGGCAGAAUUAACAGACGAGUAAAAUUAUGUUCUAAAGAGGUGGCUGAUUCAUUGUAUUUGUUUGUUAAGAAUCCAGAAGAAAUCGAACGAAAUAUAGUUGGCCAACGACGAUAUGCUGACCAAAAAAUAAGUAUACAGCCAUACGUUUUAUUCGAAGGAAAUGCGUGGAAUUCUAUUUGUGCUUCAUAUGUGAUCAUUGAUGACAUAAAAUAUAAAUGCGAGAAGGUAAUUGAUGCGAUUGAAUUAUGUUUCAAGUCCUUCCAUGUGACAGGAGCACAGUAUUCAACUCACAGUGGUUACUUGUGGACUCUUAUUCAGCAAGGUAUUUUUAAUGUUUUUAAUGUGUUGUUUGUCGUCGACAAGAUAUCUGUAAACAGUAUCACAAUGACAGACAAAAGGACUUCAUAAUUAAUACUGUUGCAACUUCUGAAUGCCGAAGAAAAUGAACCAGGAACUCUAGUAGACCUG